CCGCUCGGUUUUCCCUCCUCAACCAAAUAUCCCCAAUCUCAAAAACCAAAAACCAAAAAUCCCUAAUCUCUUCUGAUGGCGCGCUCUCUCUCACUCUCUCGUUUUUCAUCUGGAUCGAUCGGAUCAACCUCGUAAGAGAUCGACUCUCUCUCAUCACAAGAUCGAUCGAUCGACCGACUUCACUCUCUCAUAUCGCCAAUCGAGCUUCUCGGCGAAGAGACCGAUUGACCUUCGAAAACACCAAUUUGCUCUGCAACUCAUAGGCUACUGUGUAAAUUCAUCAAAUGAAUCAAUGGCUACUGUGUAAAUUCUUGAUCUAGAAGAAAGGGAGGUUCUGAAGUGUUGUUAGUAUAAACAUGAAUAUUGAGAUUGUUUUUCCACUAUCCAAUCAAUCCCUACCGACAUGCCUCACCUCUCUCGAGUGCCCGGCAUUCUUUCCACUGCAGGUGAACAGAAUGAUGCUACUUCCUCUCCUGCUCAAGGAGAAAGGAAAGGGGAUAAUGUUAGUAGGUCAAGUAGUUCAAGCAGUUCUAGCAGCGACUCUAGUUCUUCUUCAAGUGAUUCUGAUAGCGAUAGUACCUCUACUUCUGGAUCAAAUGCAGGGCAUUCACCUAGAACUUGAGUGGAUUCAAUUAAGUAUUCUUAUGAGCUUCUGCUGCAAUAUUUACACAAGACACAAUCCAUUACAAUGCUUGGGGUUAUUAAUGAGCAUAUUAACUUUAAAGCUCAAUUUCUGAUGAUGAAGGUGUUACACUUGUUGGGAGUGGCCAGGAUGCAGCUAAUCUGAUAAAUCAGAAAGAAAUAGACUGGGGGAUAUUUUCCCAGUAGCAGUUUGCUUCUUGUGGAAUGCAGGCGUGUGAAGAUUGCGAUUAACUUUUGUUUUUGUUACCCACGGAAGAAUCAUGACGAAAACUUUUGUUUUUGAUUUAUGUUAUUUUGAAUUGUGAACAACAUUAUGUAUUUAAACAUUGUAUAUGUAUUAUGCGACACUAUGUAGUGGGAUAGUUUUGUUGAUGUAUUGUUAUGAAUGGAAGAAUAUUUUUAUUAUGGAU